AAGGCGAGGCCGAAAGGCGUAGUCGAUGGGAAACAGGUUAAUAUUCAUGUACUUGGUGUUACUGCGAAGGGGGGACGGAGAAGGCUAUGUUGGCCGGGCGACGGUUGUCCCGGUUUAAGCGUGUAGGCUGGUUUUCCAGGCAAAUCCGGAAAAUCAAGGCUGAGGCGUGAUGACGAGGCACUACGGUGCUGAAGCAACAAAUGCCCUGCUUCCAGGAAAAGCCUCUAAGCAUCAGGUAACAUCAAAUCGUACCCCAAACCGACACAGGUGGUCAGGUAGAGAAUACCAAGGCGCUUGAGAGAACUCGGGUGAAGGAACUAGGCAAAAUGGUGCCGUAACUUCGGGAGAAGGCACGCUGAUAUGUAGGUGAAGUCCCUCGCGGAUGGAGCUGAAAUCAGUCGAAGAUACCAGCUGGCUGCAACUGUUUAUUAAAAACACAGCACUGUGCAAACACGAAAGUGGACGUAUACGGUGUGACGCCUGCCCGGUGCCGGAAGGUUAAUUGAUGGGGUCAGCGCAAGCGAAGCUCUUGAUCGAAGCCCCGGUAAACGGCGGCCGUAACUAUAACGGUCCUAAGGUAGCGAAAUUCCUUGUCGGGUAAGUUCCGACCUGCACGAAUGGCGUAAUGAUGGCCAGGCUGUCUCCACCCGAGACUCAGUGAAAUUGAACUCGCUGUGAAGAUGCAGUGUACCCGCGGCAAGACGGAAAGACCCCGUGAACCUUUACUAUAGCUUGACACUGAACAUUGAGCCUUGAUGUGUAGGAUAGGUGGGAGGCUUUGAAGUGUGGACGCCAGUCUGCAUGGAGCCGACCUUGAAAUACCACCCUUUAAUGUUUGAUGUUCUAACGUUGACCCGUAAUCCGGGUUGCGGACAGUGUCUGGUGGGUAGUUUGACUGGGGCGGUCUCCUCCUAAAGAGUAACGGAGGAGCACGAAGGUUGGCUAAUCCUGGUCGGACAUCAGGAGGUUAGUGCAAUGGCAUAAGCCAGCUUGACUGCGAGCGUGACGGCGCGAGCAGGUGCGAAAGCAGGUCAUAGUGAUCCGGUGGUUCUGAAUGGAAGGGCCAUCGCUCAACGGAUAAAAGGUACUCCGGGGAUAACAGGCUGAUACCGCCCAAGAGUUCAUAUCGACGGCGGUGUUUGGCACCUCGAUGUCGGCUCAUCACAUCCUGGGGCUGAAGUAGGUCCCAAGGGUAUGGCUGUUCGCCAUUUAAAGUGGUACGCGAGCUGGGUUUAGAACGUCGUGAGACAGUUCGGUCCCUAUCUGCCGUGGGCGCUGGAGAACUGAGGGGGGCUGCUCCUAGUACGAGAGGACCGGAGUGGACGCAUCACUGGUGUUCGGGUUGUCAUGCCAAUGGCACUGCCCGGUAGCUAAAUGCGGAAGAGAUAAGUGCUGAAAGCAUCUAAGCACGAAACUUGCCCCGAGAUGAGUUCUCCCUGACCCUUUAAGGGUCCUGAAGGAACGUUGAAGACGACGACGUUGAUAGGCCGGGUGUGUAAGCGCAGCGAUGCGUUGAGCUAACCGGUACUAAUGAACCGUGAGGCUUAACCUU
rnacentral:rRNA from 1 species